rnacentral:rRNA from 1 species
UAUGUAGGGUGCGAGCGUUAAUCGGAAUUACUGGGCGUAAAGCGUGUGCAGGCGGUUUGUUAAGACAGGUGUGAAAUCCCCGGGCUUAACCUGGGAAUUGCGCUUGUUACUGGCAAGCUAGAGUGCGUCAGAGGGAGGUGGAAUUCCACGUGUAGCAGUGAAAUGCGUAGAGAUGUGGAGGAACACCGAUGGCGAAGGCAGCCUCCUGGGAUGACACUGACGCUCAUACACGAAAGCGUGGGGAGCAAACAGG